rnacentral:rRNA from 1 species
GAUGAACGCUGGCGGCGUGCCUAAUACAUGCAAGUCGAGCGAACAGAUAAGGAGCUUGCUCCUUUGACGUUAGCGGCGGACGGGUGAGUAACACGUGGGUAACCUACCUAUAAGACUGGGAUAACUUCGGGAAACCGGAGCUAAUACCGGAUAACAUUUGGAACCGCAUGGUUCUAAAGUGAAAGAUGGUUUUGCUAUCACUUAUAGAUGGACCCGCGCCGUAUUAGCUAGUUGGUAAGGUAACGGCUUACCAAGGCGACGAUACGUAGCCGACCUGAGAGGGGGGUCGGCCACACUGGAGCUGGGACGCGGUCCAGACUCCUGCGGGAGGCAGCAGUAGGGAAUCGUCCGCAGUGGGCGGAAGCCUGACGGAGCAACGCCGCGUGAGUGAUGAAGGGGUUCGGCUCGUAAAACUCUGUUAUUAGGGAAGAACAGAUGUGUAAGUAGCUGUGCACGUCUUGACGGUACCUAAUCAGAAAGCCACGGCUAACUACGUG